AUUAGAGCAAAAGCUUUCCCUCCAGAGGCAAACCACUUCCGUUCUCAAUUAAGGAAGCAAUCUCUUCUUCCAAAAACUGUAUAAGAAUAGUGAGAUUUCACUUGCAGAUUAUACACGGCCACUGGGGCUUCUGUUAUGGGGAUUAUACACCAAAUACUUAUAUGAUGAGGUAUAUAAUAUAAUAAAUGGAAACAAUAAUUAAAAAGGAAAAACAAAAAA
rnacentral:misc_RNA from 1 species